CUCCAUGAUGAUCUUAUGAUCAGGAGUAAUUUAGAAAUUAAUCAUCAAUGAUACAUGCUUCAAAUUUUCAACUCUUUGAGAAUAUGUGUCAUCAUCUCGUUAAUCCCUUAGAUGAUUCAUGGACACAUAAAUAUAAAUGGUAAUAUAACUAUCCAAUAAGUAUAAAAUCAGAUCCUAGAGAUAUGAAAUGUGUUAGCCAAGAUUGACUUCUAGGGUAUACAUCCAAUAGUGCUGUCGUCUGGGGCAUGUAGGAAGAUGAAAGCCACGGUAUCUGUAGAUCAGAAGGUGGUGGCAGGUGGCAUAUGUGCAGCAUGCGGUGAUGACAUCUAUAGAAUAUAUGGUGAUGGCAUAUGUAGAAUAUAUGGUGAUUGUGUAUAUCUCAUAUCUGAUGCAUCUCCUGCUUCAUGUCAAGGCAUGGUAAUAUGCUCAUAGCCAAUCACCAUCAAUAUCCCUGAAUAUGACCUCUUC
rnacentral:lncRNA from 1 species